CUGUCUUUAGUGUAUACAGUGUCUAAAAUAUUUUUCAGUGAAAAAAAAUUAGUCAUGACACCUGUUAGUGAGGCAGAAUUUAUUCAAGGGGGCCAUGGAGAUAAAUACAGGGAGCACUGCAAUGGGGUCUCACAUUGUGGGGGAAGAUCGGACUCAACUCUGUCUCUGAAAAGGACAAGUGAGAUUACAGCCAAGAUGGAAGGAGUCAGUGGGUGGAAAAUUGCUAAGAGGAAGCAUCAAGAAUAAGGAGUUUCUAGCUAAACUGUCACAAGAGGAUUGUUGUUGAAGACUGGUUGAUGUCAGCUGUUUUGCUGGAAUUCGGGAUGUGAAAAAUAUCUUAAGCAACUCUUAAACAGUCUUUAUGAUUCUAAUGCCAGAAAUCCCAUCUGUAGGAACAAC
rnacentral:lncRNA from 10 species